CAGUCGCCACGGGAAUAUGGAGGGUGCAAGCGUUAAUCGGAAUUACUGGGCGUAAAGCGUGCGUAGGCGGUGAGUUAAGUCUGCUGUGAAAUCCCCGGGCUCAACCUGGGAAUGGCAGUGGAUACUGGCUCGCUAGAGUGUGUCAGAGGAUGGUGGAAUUCCCGGUGUAGCGGUGAAAUGCGUAGAGAUCGGGAGGAACAUCAGUGGCGAAGGUGGCCAUCUGGGACAACACUGACGCUGAGGCACGAAAGCGUGGGGAGCAAACAGGAUUAGAUACCCCCGUAGUCCCUGUCUCUUAUAC
rnacentral:rRNA from 1 species